UAACCCUUGUGGAGGAGGACGCCGAAGGUGGGGCUAAUGACUGGGGUGAAGUCGUAACAAGGUAGCCGUACCGGAAGGUGCGGCUGGAUCACCUCCUAACAGGGAGACAACAAAAUGUUUAAUAUUAUUAUUUUGUCACCUUAGGUCGAUCGGUAUCUCACGUUCUUAAUUUAUUAAGGAUUUCAUUUCCUAAGUUUUUCUAGGUCACACCCAUUAUUUUUCCUGGGCCAUUAGCUCAGGUGGUUAGAGCGCACCCCUGAUAAGGGUGAGGUCCCUGGUUCAAGUCCAGGAUGGCCCAUAUCUCUAUGUUGGGGGUAUAGCUCAGUUGGUAGAGCGCCUGCUUUGCAAGCAGGAUGUCAGCGGUUCGAGUCCGCUUACCUCCACUGAUUACCACCUCUUCCAUAAUCUGUAUAAAGGGAAUUUUUUGAGUCGUGACCAAAUUCUGAAAGAAUCUAGCUUCCUAAUGAAAUCAUUAAGAUGCUGGACUCAUUGAAUUAAUUUCAUUGUUUUCAGAGAACCUUGACAACUGCAUAGAUUAUUUUUUAAAGACAAUAAGCAUCUUUAAUGAUGCAGAUUUAUUAUUUGUGCGAAUGCAUUAAUAACAAUUCUAUUAAGCUGAUGCUUCAAUUUUUGAAGUUAUUGGUCAAGCUACAAAGGGCUCACGGAGGAUACCUAGGCACACA
rnacentral:misc_RNA from 1 species